rnacentral:lncRNA from 1 species
AGAGAGAGAGGAGAGAGAGAUUGAUUGAUUGUGACCAAAAGGAAAGCAAAACCCCCUUUGGAAGAGAGAACAAUUCUACUUUUUAAAAGAAAUUUUGGAACAAAUUAAAUAUUAUAAAAUGUGAUGUCAAAUAGGGAGUGGACCUUCUAUACUUGUUUUUGUAAGUCUUUAUCUUUAAAGUUUGCCUGCAGCAUCUAUGUCCCUUGCACUUAGACAUUUAACAUCCCUAGUAGUAAAUGAGUCUGAGAUACAGCCUCUAAAGUGAAGUUCUUAGUUUGACUGCUUAGUAGUAGCAUGUUCAUGUUAAUGUGGUUUGCUUGUCACACUGUUUUUACUUGUGUGGAAAACUUAAGAUGAAACCAUCCUUUAGAAGUCAUUGCUGUUGUGUAAUUUGAAGACAAGGUUUUAUUGGUAAACUCAAAAGUGUUCAUUUAUUCCUAUUUCUCCUCAGAUAACUUCAAGUGAUGUACGAAAAGGUUUGGAGUUCAUUUUUGUGGAAAGACUUUAAGUUGUUAGAACCACUAAACGUCUUCACAUGGUACUAUGAGGAAAAAAAAGAACAUUUUCAUAAAAUUUCAACUGUAACUGCUGAUACUGACUAAAACAAUAACCAUCUAACCAGUUUCUAAGGCAAUGCCCAUUCCAGCACUUUCGAGUCGCUGUAAUAUCAUAUAUUGUCUCCAUAGACCUUGAAUAUAUGGCCUACAAUUUCUACAAAAAUGUUGGGAAUUUCACUUUCCAAAUAAUUUGUUGAUUAAAAUGAUCAACAUCCUGAAGGAAAUAAUAGUUUUCAAUUGAUAUAAACUUUGUAUUUUUAGUGGUUUAAGUUUAUUUUGCUUUACAUGCAAAAUUUUAUCUAGAUUGUAUAGAUAAAUAUGAUUUUUUGUAGAGAGUAUGUUAGUAGGAUCAAAAGACAAAUUAGUAUCAAUACAUUAUGAAUAUUUAGUAGCCUACUGAAUAUUUAUAAUUAUUUGAAUCCAUUUAAAAUUUUUUCUUUAGCACUUAAAUGUUUGAAAGUUUUAUUCUAAAAUAUAUACUACAAAAAGUUCCAGUUCAUUUUAUGCAUAGAUCAUUAUUACAUUUAUCAUUUGUAAACAUUAGACGUUUUUAUGAAAAUUAAACAUUCCCCUAUUUUUCUUUAAAUUUUAUAUAAAGCACUUUAAUGAUAGAUGCAAUCUUACUUCUCAGUUCCUAUUUUUUUAAAGAACACACAUUUACUACUGUUUAUAUGAAGGUAAUAAAUAGCUUACUGAUAUUUUAUAGAUGCAGACAAUCCAUGUGCAACCACUUCUUAUGUUUCUAUUUUAUUUCUUUAAGUGUUGCUGGAAAAGGAAGAUAGGGGUGUCCAUCUUAGUUUUUUCUCCCAAGC